UACCCCAGUGUAUGUAAGCAAGGUGGCAGCACAUCUGGAAGGGAUUAAUUUCUCCUUGGCAUCUAUUGCCCCUGAUGACCCCUGCUGGUUAAUCUCAUCCUAUCAGCCCAGCCUUUAUCAAGUGGCUAAACAAGAUGGCUGCACCAGCAGUACACAGGCCAAAUGAAAACUCAGUACAAAAGCAACCACUUGUAACUGUUCUGAGUUUUUGUAUUUAGCUAUGCCUCAGUGAUUGUCCUAACACAACACAGUUCUCAGAAAUUACAUAUCACUGCAGAUGCACAUAUACUGGAAUUUAUCAUGCUUUUCGACUUUGACAUUUUGAGUCCAGUGUACAUGUUCUCUAUGGCCAGUCAGUAAGCAUGUGUUAUUAUUGUUGAUAGAUACAUAUAUAUAGAUAUUAACUGUGUAUAUACAGUUAAUAUGCAUAUAGGCUAUCGCAUGGUAAUAUUGUAUUUAGUUUAUAGAUAUUAUCAAAAUACCCUGCGUGACCCGUAUCAUUGUUCCUCAUGCGGUAACCGUUCUGGGUUGUACAAUAUGUAUACAGCCCCUAGCAUAAAAAUGUACCACUCAGAUUAUUAUUGCAUACAGUAGUCUACAUUAUUGAUUUGUAACCUGCAUGUUAAAUGAUCAAAAGAGUAACUUACGAAUGUUAUGUUUUGGUUGGAGGUGAAGGUCAGCUGGCAUAGACCAGUAUGCCUUGUUAUAUAUGAGAUAUGACCUGGCAUCAUAAAAUGCAUUUGUACCCAUCAUAGAGUCAUCUAAAUUUCUAAUGCGAGCCUGGCCCCUUAUUAGCCUGGCAACGUACUCGACAUUAUGUUUAGAUGCCUCUCUUAAACAGGAUACCGGUAACCCUGUGACCCUUGGCCUCUCUAGUAUUGACUAUAUUGCAAUCAUUGUUAGCAUGAUGUCACUUGGUUUCUAGAUGCCAUGCUUAAACGUUACAUGCAUUAUGGCCUGACUGUCAGACUGACCUCUCAACUUCAACCUACCUUGACCUACAUGUAUGUGUACAGGUCGCUGUGUAUACAUGUGGACACACAUGUAACAUGUAUAUUAUAUAAUUGGGUUAAUAAUCAUGUCCAACAUCUUAACUUGUUUAACUUACCUGUUAUGACCAUAUGGCACUUCUAUUAAGUCUUUGAAAGCUAAGUUCUAAAUUAUUUACUCAUUAAUACUUGAAAGCUCUAGUAGCUCCCCCAUUUCCCUCCAAGACAGCCGAGCAGUCAACACGUGUUUUACCAAGAUCACAGCCAGUCUUCAUUCAUACAUUUCACCCAGGUGCUGUACCGUCUUGACUGCCAGACGUUACCCUCUAGGCUGCUUCUCCUUGUGAGCCCCUCAGCGGGAACACUAUCCAAACUCAGAAGGAAGGAAGGAAGGGAAAGGAACAUAUUUUUACAGAUCUCCUACUUUUAUACUGAUUACCUCUGUCUUAAAUAAUAAAUUCUCAGGCUGUGGCACUUGUGAAAACCCACCAGAGCAUUUGCGUUCUUUGUCCAGCAUAUAUUUAACACUUGUUCCCCAAACGCCAGUCACGUGUCCAACCGACAACGUAAGAUAGUCUCGCAGGUGAUUCAACCGCAGACAAACAGGUCUUACAGUAGUACGCAUGUACAUAACCUGAUUCUAACCAGAAACCUAAAGCAUGUUUACUGCUAAAUGUUGAUCAUAGGUCCGCGGAACAAUCGAGUGGUCAGGCUAAGCCUAAACAAAACCCCACUUGUUUCUCCCAGGGAGAAAGGGUACACUUCACCAAAAAAAUCUAUAUAUUUUUAUUUUGGUGGCAGUGGUUUAGAUUAUAUGUGUAACACAGUGUGUGGGCAGUGUAAGAAAUCACAUCAGGGGAAUUCCAGAGUAGGAAAUACUUUUCACUCGGGUGACGUAGAUUUCCACUCCUUAAAUACAAUAAGUACCGGGGGUAUUCAGUACGUAACAACGCAUGACCAUUAGUCAGUGUCUGUUCCGAGUCUCUAACCAGAUACAGCGCCACUUUCAAGGCAUUUUCAAAGACAGCCGGGAUGAAGUGUACACCUAAUCAGUCGCUAUCCUUGCUACCGGCAAUGAUAGUGGCACUCUUUUUAUGUAAGAUUGGGGAAUCUUUGGUGUCUGCCAGGCUGUCGACUGUCCACAUUAACGGCAGGUAUCCCUCGUUUUUUCGAUGAUAUAGAGGGGCGCUGUUCUCCAUGCUCUGUAGGGGUAUGCAAGACCUAUCUCACACUGCCAGAGCCUUGUGUAUGCACUUGUGUUCGAGAUUACCAGAAUCGGACAUACAGGGAAGAAGAGAAACGUUUGUGCCAAGAUAAGCUAGGUAAGACUUACGAUAUAGCACAGCUUAAUCUAUGCUCAGUCAUAUGCCAUUCAAUUGCAGGCAGAUUUUGUUCCAAAACUGUUCUUCAGUAGUUCAUAUUUGUACUACUAUGUUUGUAGUUGAAAAGACAAAAUUCUGGGGCUAUAGAUUAUAUACAUAAUGUUUAUGUUCGUUUAUUUUCUUAAUCUGUAUGCAGAAGGAUGUAGCUACAUGUUGUUUUGUAUCAACGUUUUAUGUCACACGGUAUACAUAAAAAAAAACAAUUGAAGAAAAAAUAAAUAUUCAUAAUAUGUGUGACUUGUUGCCAGGGCCUAGUCUGUAUAUGAACAUGUCCUCCAUGUAACAGCCUGGCGAUUUUAUUUUGCUUUAUAUGUCUUUGCUUUAGCUCCCAUGCUUAAGUAUAUAUAUAUAUAUACACACGACUGAAUAUUUCAGGGGAGUUAACUAACACAUCCGACUGAAAGCACCCACACAUCAGGCGUUUUUGAAGUAGUGGUGUUAGUGUGGCUAACCGUCCUGACGGUAGUUUGGGUUGUUGUGGUGAUAGUCCUGAGUGUAAAAUGGCCCAGGGUCAAAGCCUCCAUUCCGGAAGAUGAACCACUGCUGAUCAAUAAUCCUGACAAGUUAAAACAACAACAACAACAAGAAUGCCGCUGGCUGUACCAGCAGCCCGAUCUCCAGUCCUAUAACUUUAGUUCCCAAAAUUGUGGAGACAUAUGAGCCCAGCAGCCAUCCUGUGACGUCAUCGCGGCCAGAUACCUGUACGAGUGUUCCAAAACAGGAGGAGAAUCCAAACAUAGAUUCGGAUCAGACUCCUCUGAAGGUCAUGGAGAGUGGCGAGCGGGGCUGUCCUGUUUCUGAGGUGGGUCCUGGCAGUCCCAAAGUUAGCCUACCGGAUAACGACUGCCAAAUCUAGGAGUGAAAACCCGACCGACAUGCGCAAGUCCCCUAACGCCUUGUGGCAAGAAUCCGGUCAGCAUGAAGAUGCACGCCACGCGGGAACCCGCCAACAAAGAGGCCCCGAAGCUCUGGCGGAGGGAAAUGCAGAUGAAAAACAUACCGCACUUCCCAGGAUAGCCCGAUCUCCUGGGGCAGACAGACGUGUGGAACGCGGGCAAUGCCAGAUAAGAGAAACGCUCAUACCGACUGGUCCAACAAAUGAUUAUUCGUGUACAAGACGAAGUAGACUCCUGCAUCCAUAUACAGUAGUACCGGCAUACUUUUGCUGAUUACGUACAGUCGUAAAUCUUCCAAAAGUUUAUUAACGUGGCCUACUCGUUAAUGUAAACUGUAUACAGUUGUUUAGCCGUAAACAACCAUUACAUCACACCAUGGCGAUGUGCAGGAUAAUAAGUUGUAUAAUACUUUACCACGUGGAAUUCUCCCAUCCAUGUCAAAUGUAUAUGUAUAUAAUUUAUAUAUCACCGCGUGAUGUAAAAGAUGUUAUUUCCUUUAUCAUUGUAGUAGAACAACAUAAUCAAUCACAGACUCUAUAUACAAUCCAGAGAUAAUAUGAUACAACACAAAGAGAUACCAUAGAUUCGUGUAUAGGUGCUAUAUACUGCAGGGCUUCCGCUGGCGCUCGCCACUUUCGCUAGUUGCGAAUAAAAUUUGAAUUGGCGAUAAAAUCAGGGAAAUGUCGAAAGUUUUUGGCGACAAAAUUAUUUACUCGAGAAUCUAUACUGGCUAUUGAAGAGGUGGAAAUGGCGACAGUAUGAAGACUCGCAAUGCACAUGGCCAUGUGUUGUUCUUCUCUUUUCUAACAGAAAUAAUAGGUUGGUGAUCGCCAUCACAGUUUCGUCUAAACCAUGUGCGCAGAGCUUCCGCUGGUGCUCGCGAUUGUUGAAUUUAGAACACUUUUGAAAUGGCGAUAAAAUUCGAAAAUAUGCGAAUGUCUUUGGUGACAAAUUUAUUUACCUAAGAAAAUGUAAAAAACGUUAUACACAAAUUACCUGGCAAAGUUUUCCUAAUACUUUUUAGGCAUGAGAGUUUUCUGUGGUUUUACGCGUAUUUUCGCUAUUUUUUUGACGAAAACAAUCCAUUUACUUUUAUUUCAAACGGCUUCAUUUCGGCGAAACAACAACAAAACAGUCACGGCGAUUUUGAUUGACAGAAAUCUACAAAGAAGGUUCAGCUUUCUUGGAAGUUGACUUACAUUAGAUAACGCUUGAAAAUCAUUUUUGUUGACUAAUGAACGAGAAUCAUGGCAUUUUUGGGUCUGCCUUUCACGGCCAAAUCUAAUGAAAACAAUUAUUACGGGAGAUAAAUAUACAGGUAGUGUUAGACGUGUAAAUGAAGUUACCUCCCUUGAAACAUUUAACCCUUCCGCCCUUGAAAUAAAUUUACAAAUUUAUUUUGUAACAAAUUUUUAUGACAGAGGAAAUUGGAUUUUACUAGUACCCUACACAGAUUAACUGAAAAAAGGUUUGAUUUUUUUGCAAUUGUUCUAGACAAUGGGACAAACUCCAGAUAGAGCUGGAAGUGACCCAGAGGAAGCCCUGUACUGAUUGAUGGCUAUAUAAUAUGCAUGGUAUACACAGUCGUUACGCUGAGCAUAGCUUGGUUGUACCUUUAUAGACCUAUAUAUUUGGCUAUUAUAUGCAUAACUUAGAAAAACAUAACUCGCAGUUAGAAAAGAACAGUAUAAGUUCCGGUUUGAAGUUGUAGAAAUAAUCUGCCGUUCAUGUUGUAAACUCGUACAUUCUUAAUGUGAGUAUAUACCUGCAUGGUUUCUAAUAAAUUGCCUACUGUAUAUUCA